UGACUCCCAAGAAGGAAGGCUCUCUAUCUGGAGAUCACUCCUUUUGGAGCCCUUCUACAAGCCUAGGACACAGGCAAUAACUUCGAACACUAACUUCAAGCUUUCAUUGAGAGCACAGAUUCUAUAGCAACGAAGUAACAAUGGCAACAAAAUUGCAUUCCGUUGAUUGAAGCUUUUUAAGAAAACUGCUUCUCAGAAUGUUCAGAUCCAUACACCUGUUUAUAGGCAAACCAUAACCUGGUGGAGAAAACAAAAUAGCAAAAGUUACCAACUCGUUCUAGAUGUAAGGAAUACAGAGAUACUUCUCAGUACCUUUGUCAUAUUGUAUCACGACAAUCCAGAUGCGCAGGUACUGCAGGUUUGUAAUAAGAAAAGAACUAUGAUGGGACCAUGUAAACUCUGUUCUGAAUUUGGACCAAGGAGGAAUAUUAAAAAGAAUUAUUUGAAUUAUACUUACAUGUAUAUAACAAUUUGUGUCCCUUUUAUUUAUAGAAAAAAAUAUAUAUUAAAAAAUAAGGUGGAAGUUGAAUCUCUUUUACUUAAAAAAAAAGACCACUUCUAACCUACUUACAAAGAAGGCAUAUUAUUUCUCAUAAUAUGCUGGCUUUAAAACUUGAUACUGUCUCAGGAGAACGCACGUUGUAUCAUGCUCGGUGACUUCAUGAAAUUUACUGUUUCUCUGGCUCUAAUAAAUCUUUUCAGAACAUCAAUUUACAUUUCUUCUACACAGUAGUUGUUCUUAAUCUAAUAAUGUAUUUAACAAUUAAUGUCAUUUGCUGUUAGAAAUAUAUUUGUAUUUACAUUUUUAAAGAUUAUGUGAUAGCAUUUAGGGAUGCAUACAGUAAAUCACAUUCAGAGUAAAUGAUAAUUAGAAUAAUAACUUACCAUAUAUGUUUAAAUGUUAUGAAAAGAUCAUUAGAGCUGUUUCAUCUGUCCUUAUUUGUCUUAGUGAUUGAGCAAGCAAAUUUAAAAGUAAAUUUCAAAGUAGAUUGUGAUUCCAUUUCAGUGCGACAGUGUGUUUCAUUUGAAACUGAGGUGCUGUAGGAUAGGUGAUGUUGCUAAUCUCACUGCUGCUGCUCUUGCUAUUGGUACUCAGAAUUCUUUCAUACUGUCUGUAGUACAUAGAACAGCUUGGGGAGGUUAGAAAUCCAGAGAAAACUGCUAGAGGUGGAGAUUUUGUAUGAAAGGGAAUGUAUCGCAUUUUAAAUAUAUGCCUGUUUUUUAACAUAGACUACAAGUACCAAAAGAUAGAAGCAUAGACUAUUUUGAAAUUAAUAUCUGAAAAUUUUGUUAAUCUCAUCACAGAAAACUGUGAGAAGAAAGUUCUCCUAAUUUGCAUGGAUAACAGUAAUAAAUAGAUUUCCAUGUAUUGGUUAAGAUUGUAUGGAGUAUUUUUUAAAUCUGAGUUCAUCAGCAAGAAGGAAAGAAUCCAAAUACUACAUAUUCUGGCAAAUACAAAUGAUUUUAUAGUUGGCUAGAAGAACUCAUGGGUGGUCUCAGUCACGAAAUAAACUGAGUUCCAUUUGUUAAAUGCCCCAUGAAGCCAUAAUAAGGGAUUCUGUAUGCAUCUGUUGCACAGUGAAGGUGUGUGAUCAAGCACCAUAUUUAGAAAAUAAGAUCCAAGAAAUAUCAUAAAAAUUCUCAUUUUCGGAAAAUACUUUAAAAUAUUACUGCUUUAUCUUAUACCAGAAAUAGCAAUCGAGCUUUCUGUGUAGCUGGCUGAAUAAUUUAUAUUGGUCUGUUUAAAUUUUAUCAUUAAUGUCCAUAGAGUAUUUAAGGAGGUCUUAAAUUGUUUGUAUGCACAAAUGAUUUAAGAUAAUUUGUUAAAGUAUUUGUGCAAAUAUAUAUAUACUUAUUUAUUUACUUUUGUCACUGAAAUAUACGUUUGUUCUGAACUGGAAUUAUUUUGACUUGAUUGAACAUAUGUAAACAGAUUCUGAACCCAUCAUUUAAUAUAAGAAGGGCACAUGAUAUAACCAAGCUUCUAUAUGUGUAUAAAUUAUUCUGUUAAAAUUGGAAAUUGUUUUCCAUUGCUACUAUGUGAAAUAAAUAAAAGCAUGAUCAAGUU
ensembl:lncRNA